ensembl:lncRNA
UCCUACUGUGCUCAUUUCAUGACGAAAUCCCAGCAAUAUAAACAAUUAUACAAAUUCAAUUAAGCACAUUAAUGCCGAACCAACAAGGCCAAUCUUGUGUUUCUCCUGUCCUCCCAGGACGCUCACCCCAGAGCUGGAUGUGGUGUUGGUGGAUGGAAAAUAAGAUCGAGUCUGACAAGAAUCAGGACUGUUCCAGGGCUUUUGGAGCCCUCUGGUCUCUCCGGAUGGUGACAUUCUAUCUUGACAACUCAGAUCCAGCCACCAGAACCUGAAGCCCAGAGCAGACCCUUGAAGGAAUAAGCCAGCCUACCAUAAGCUUGACCCAACCAUCAUCAUCACCACCAUCUUCACUUGGGAGAGUUAAUCCCCCCCCUGCAUCAAGAAGAGAGAGAAAAAAGCACAGAGAGAGAGAGGGGAAAGAAACUGAAGAAAAGAUGAAGGAAGAAGGCAAGAAAGAGAACACUGAUUUCUUUCUCUCAGAAACAGAUGAACUUUCUCUAGCUUCAAAAUGGCCUAUGGUAUUUCUAUGAAGACUGGACUCAAAACCAUUCAAAGAAUUUAUAUCUUUGUUAAACUACACGGUUAUCAAGCCCAUAUUUAGCCAUGAGUAAGAUAUUCCUCAUGUCCUCAUGUAACUUGUAUAAUGUAACACAGAAGACAUAAACAAAAG